AUCGAAGAAAUUGGUGGCGGCUUGGCGGUGGCGGCGCUUGAUCCGGUUGGAUCGAGUCGAUGAAACUACCUGAGUUCUUGUGUGAGAGAGUCGUGGAGAGGAAGAGGAGUUGACCCCCCACAACUCCGUUCGUCUCCUCCACGUCUCCCUCUUCCCUCACCUCCUGCCGCCGCCGCCGCCGCCGCCGCCGACGAGGAGGCCACGCGAGAACCCCGGCCAUGGCGUUGUCUUCGUCAGCUCGAUCUUCCCGGAGAAGACGACGACGACGGGAGACAAGGAGUUGGUUCAGUUACCACCUGCCGGCUGCCGCCGCAAGCAUCCUGAAUUAAUUUCUGAUGUACUUUUAUUUUUUCUUCUUCUUUUUUUGUGGUCGUUGUUAACGACUCUGCUCACGCCGUACUAGGUCAAAAGUUUCUUCAGUUUACCAAUUACCAAACCC
rnacentral:sRNA from 1 species